GAUGAACGCUGGCGGCGUGCUUAACACAUGCAAGUCGAACGAGCCUUCGGGCUAGUGGCGGACGGGUGAGUAACGCGUGGGAAUCUGCCCUCAGGAGGGGGAUAACGGCCGGAAACGGCCGCUAAUACCCCAUAUGCCGAGAGGUGAAAUGAAUUUCGCCUGAGGAUGAGCCCGCGUCUGAUUAGCUAGUUGGUGUGGUAAUGGCGCACCAAGGCGACGAUCAGUAGCUGGUCUGAGAGGAUGAUCAGCCACACUGGGACUGAGACACGGCCCAGACUCCUACGGGAGGCAGCAGUGGGGAAUUUUCCGCAAUGGGCGAAAGCCUGACGGAGCAACGCCGCGUGAGGGAUGAAGGCCUCUGGGCUGUAAACCUCUUUUCUCAAGGAAGAAGACAUGACGGUACUUGAGGAAUAAGCCACGGCUAAUUCUGUGCCAGCAGCCGCGGUAAUACGGGAGUGGCAAGCGUUAUCCGGAAUUAUUGGGCGUAAAGCGUCCGCAGGCGGCCUUGUAAGUCUGUCGUUAAAGCGUGGAGCUUAACUCCAUUUAAGCGAUGGAAACUACAAGGCUUGAGUGUGGUAGGGGCAGAGGGAAUUCCCGGUGUAGCGGUGAAAUGCGUAGAUAUCGGGAAGAACACCAGUGGCGAAGGCGCUCUGCUGGGCCAUAACUGACGCUCAUGGACGAAAGCCAGGGGAGCGAAAGGGAUUAGAUACCCCUGUAGUCCUGGCCGUAAACGAUGAACACUAGGUGUCGGGGGAAUCGACCCCCUCGGUGUCGUAGCUAACGCGUUAAGUGUUCCGCCUGGGGAGUACGCACGCAAGUGUGAAACUCAAAGGAAUUGACGGGGGCCCGCACAAGCGGUGGAGUAUGUGGUUUAAUUCGAUGCAACGCGAAGAACCUUACCAGGGUUUGACAUCCUGCGAAUCCCUUGGAAACGAGGGAGUGCCUUCGGGAGCGCAGAGACAGGUGGUGCAUGGCUGUCGUCAGCUCGUGUCGUGAGAUGUUGGGUUAAGUCCCGCAACGAGCGCAACCCACGUCUUUAGUUGCCAGCAUUCAGUUGGGCACUCUAGAGAGACCGCCGGUGAUAAACCGGAGGAAGGUGUGGAUGACGUCAAGUCAUCAUGCCCCUUACAUCCUGGGCUACACACGUACUACAAUGCUACGGACAAAGGGUUGCAAGCUCGCGAGAGUUAGCUAAUCCCAUAAACCGUGGCUCAGUUCAGAUCGUAGGCUGCAACUCGCCUACGUGAAGGAGGAAUCGCUAGUAAUCGCAGGUCAGCAUACUGCGGUGAAUACGUUCCCGGGCCUUGUACACACCGCCCGUCACACCAUGGAAGUUGGCCAUGCCCGAAGUCGUUACUCCAACCCUUGUGGAGGAGGACGCCGAAGGUGGGGCUGAUGACUGGGGUGAA
rnacentral:rRNA from 1 species